rnacentral:sRNA from 1 species
AAAAAUUCUCCAUGGAGAAGGAUGAGAACCUUCGACAAGGUUCGAGCCGAGCGCAGCGAGACAACGUUGCCAGUGGCAACGGCCCGAAGGGUGAGGCGCAGCGCGCCGAAUUAUCCUUCUCCCACCACCA